GAUGAAGAACGCAGCGAAAUGCGAUAAGUAAUGUGAAUUGUAGAAUUCAGUGAAUCAUCGAAUCUUUGAACGCACCUUGCGCUCCUUGGUAUUCCGAGGAGCAUGCCUGUUUGAGUGUCAUGAAAUUCUCAACCUUUUCAGCUUUCUUUGUUGAUCAGGCUUGGAUGUGGGAGUAUGCGGGCUUCUCAGAAGUCGGCUCUCCUGAAAUGCAUUAGCGGGACCUUUGUUGCCUGGCUUUGGUGUGAUAAUUAUCUACGCCAUUGUAGUCAAGCAGCUUAAAAUGAGGUUUCAGCUUCUAACCGUCUCCCCUGAGACAACUUUUUGACAAUUUGACCUCAAAUCAGGUAGGACUACCCGCUGAACUUAAGCAUAUCAAUAAGCGGAGGA
rnacentral:misc_RNA from 1 species